GACGAACGCUGGCGGCGUGCUUAACACAUGCAAGUCGAACGUGAUUUUUGUGGAAAUUCUUUCGGGAAUGGAAAUGAAAUGAAAGUGGCGAACGGGUGAGUAACACGUGAGCAACCUACCUUACACAGGGGGAUAGCCGUUGGAAACGACGAUUAAUACCGCAUGAGACCACAGAAUCGCAUGAUAUAGGGGUCAAAGAUUUAUCGGUGUAAGAAGGGCUCGCGUCUGAUUAGCUAGUUGGAAGGGUAAAGGCCUACCAAGGCGACGAUCAGUAGCCGGUCUGAGAGGAUGAACGGCCACAUUGGAACUGAGACACGGUCCAAACUCCUACGGGAGGCAGCAGUGGGGAAUAUUGCACAAUGGGGGGAACCCUGAUGCAGCGACGCCGCGUGAGCGAAGAAGGUUUUCGAAUCGUAAAGCUCUGUCCUAUGAGAAGAUAANGACGGU
rnacentral:rRNA from 1 species